rnacentral:rRNA from 3 species
GUCAUUUAGAGGAAGUAAAAGUCGUAACAAGGUCUCCGUUGGUGAACCAGCGGAGGGAUCAUU